rnacentral:ncRNA from 1 species
CUUAUCCAGAGUGGUUGAGGGACGGGCCCGAUGAAACCCGGCAACCGGCCCGCGCGCGGCGCGGCAAGGUGCCAAUUCCCGCGGCGGCAGGCGCGCCUGCCCCGAAAGAUGAGG